rnacentral:sRNA from 1 species
AGGGCGGGCCGGCGAGGGCUGAGCGGCGCGGGCUGUCACAGGCGCCCGAAGCGCGCUGCAGGUGGCAACUUGGAGGUGCCGCCACCGCAGCUGCGGGAGGAGCCCGGGUCUGGCGGCCCCUUCCAGCCUCCAGGAGCUCUUUCCCGCCGCCGAGCCCGAGAUUGGACCUCGGAGAAUUCGAAGGAAAGAGCCCCUGCGGAGGGACCUGUGAGCAGCCCUACCUCUCUCUGCCCUUGCGCUACUUUUUUUCUCCAAGGAAGGUUGUGCCUGCGGGCUGCGAACAAGCUCCGGGAGGGGCCCCAAAGGAAGGCUUCGGUGACCCAGACUCGGAAUCCAAGCCGGACCAGGAGGCCGAGCCCCAGGAGGCGGCGGGGGCGCAGGGGCGCGCGGGGGCGCCCGUGCCGGAGCCGCCCAACGAGGAGCAGCAGCAGGCCCUGGAGCAGUUCGCCGCCGCUGCAGCGCACAGCACCCCGGUGCGGAGGGAGGUCAGUGACAAGGAACAGGAGUUUGCUGCCAGGGCUGCAAAACAGCUCGAAUAUCAGCAAUUAGAAGACGAUAAACUUUCUCAGA